GAUUUCUGGUUUAGUGCGCUUGGCCCGCCACGGUUUCGUGCGUGAGUGCCGAUGCGCGCUUACCAUCCUUCUGGAGAACGUUCCUGCCCUUUACUGGUUUGGGUUCGCAAUCCAGAACUUUUACUUUGAAAAAAUUAGAGUGUUUAAAGCAGGCUUUUGCUAUGAAUACAUUAGCAUGGAAUAAUGAUUUAGGACUUGAGUCUUAUUUUGUUGGUUUCCAGGACUGAAGUAAUGAUUGAUAGGGAUAGUUGGGGGUGCUAGUAUUCAGCGGCCAGAGGUGAAAUUCUUGGAUUCGCUGAAGACUAACUUAUGCGAAAGCAUU
rnacentral:rRNA from 1 species